UGCGCUGCUCCCCAACUGGCUUCUUCCGAUUUAUACAGCCCAGGAUCCCAGGGAGGGAAAAGCGCUACUCACAGUGAGCUGGUCUUCCUAUCUCAGUUAAUUCAAUUAAAUCAAUCACUCCCAGGGGCUGGAGAGAUGGCUCUACAAUUAAGAGCAAUUGCUGCUCCUUCAGAGGACCUGGGUUCAAUUCCAAGAACCCACCCUAGUGGGUCUAUGUGAUGGUAACUCCCAACCAUCAGUAUAGUACUUUAGUCCCAGAGGACUGACACCUUCUUCUAGCCUCUGUGGACACUGCACACACAUGGUGCCAAUACACACAAGCAGGCAAAACACGUUUACACAUCAGGUAAAAAAAAUGAAUAACUAAAAAACUUCUUUUUAUGUAAAAGAUAGUAUCUCACAACCUAACCGAGAUAAUCCCACACAAGUGGACCCAUAGACUUAGUUUCUUGGUGAUUUUUAGAUCAUGUCAAAUCAACAAUGAUCACUAACUAUUCCAGAAGAGCCCAUAGCAAUCCUCCUGUCUCAGCUUCCCAAGUGCUGAAUUAAAAGUGCCUGCCACCGUACCCAACCCUUUCCAACAGAAUUUGCUGGGCUUGUGCUCUCUGGACAAGGUGUGGAAGAGCAUAGGGUGAAGGGUCCUCACUUCACACAGUGUAGAAAAAGGCCAGCUACCAAAUAAGCUAACAAGUGAAGCUCUUCCAUUGGGAAAGUUACAAAGAAGAGGAGAAAGAAAUCAAGUGACAAUGUCACGUGGGACUCACGUGAUGGGACAGCAAGGUGACACAGCCAGGAAUGGCUUCCCUUCCAGUGAUGCAGUAAGGAAAGACAGAAAGUAGCCUAUCUGGGCCUCAAAUCACUCUCCUUCCACUCUCUGGAUGUGGUCUCCCAUCUGUGUGCCCCACAGGGGCAGCGGCUUGCAGUCUGAGAGGAUGACUGUGGAGGGAUUACCGCCCACUUACACCACGAUGGAGAAGUCUAAUUGGCCAGCUCCUCAUUAAUUCAUUCACUGCUUCACUCACAACCCUGACAUUUUUCAGGCUAGGGUAAACUCCUUGCAGUGACAUAGUAUCAGGACAUCCCAUUCCAACUCGUGGGAUAUCUACCACCAUUCCCAAGAACCUCCCACAAUUCCCUGGGAUUGUUGUUAUGAAAAGUACCUGACGAAAGCGUCUGAAGGAAGGUUUCUUUUGGCUCACAGUUCCUGGGUAUAGUCCAUGCUGGUGCAGUGGAGAAUUGCGUCAGCAGGAGCUCAAGGCAGCUCUUCCCAUUGCGUCAUCACUCAAGAAGCAGAAGGGUGAAUGCUGGCUCUCAGCGCGUGCUACCCCUUUUAUUUGGUCCAUGACCCUAACCCAUGGAAGGUCAUCUCCACUAACUACUGAAUCUCCACCUUCUUGGGAUAUCCCAAAGCCAGAGCAAUAUCCUGAGCAUCCCCAAUGACAAACACUCUCACUGGUGACCCAAGAUACAAGGGUGAUUCCCCACAAGUAAAACUUCUGGAGAGAAGCCAUGGGCUGAGGAGCUGUGGUACACCACGUAGCCAAUACCAAAGCAUAAGAGUCUGUGCUGCAAGCAGUUUGGCAGAUUCUUACAAAGGUACACAUGAAAUUGCCACAUUACCUGGCCAUUUACCACACAGAUAUAAAAAGCCCGCACAUCCACACUCACGGCCAUUUCAUCUCUCCUCAACAGGCAGAUGGCUAAAUACACGAUGACUCAUAAAUACCGUGAUAUACUUACUUAAUAAAAAGGAAUGAACUUU